CUUCAUGUCCUUGCCCUCUCCCCCUGUGGUCGCUUCUACUGGACCAGGCCGGUCAUUCACAUUCUGAAUGGCGUCCGGAAAGAGGAUCAUCCAGUAACUGAGCUACAAUGAAAAUCGAUUCGAAAUUUCAUUACAGAAACAAAUAACCAGUACAUGAUACCUCUAAGGCCAUAUCGAUGACACUUACCUCUCCAUGGGUAUAUCCAAUGAUUGUGAUUUAUUAUAUCUAUGCGAACUGUCAUUCAAAGAUGGUGUGAUAUCCAGUCAUUCCGAAAUGAGAUUCUCAAGAGGCAGGACGAUGGACGUGGACGAUGCGAUUGAAGGAACAAGAAUUGCUGUGGCACGGUGGAUGAGACGAUGCUGGCCUACCUGCAGAACCGCUACUUAGUUGAUCUUAAAGCACAUCCAACUCCCCUUCAGGUGUACCAUUUUGAUCUGGUCCAAAGACGUAUGCAGCUUCGACUGGAUUUAUCCUUGAUGGACUGCGAUUUCAAUCAAAUAUAGAUAAUUCAGACACAACAACGAAAGAAACAUAAUAAACCAAGCCUGAAGUUAAGAACAUGAAUGCGUGCCCAAAAAAGCACGAAGAUCUCACCAAAUUUAAACAUAUGGGACGGCGAGGUUCAGGUUCGAUGCCUAAAGGUAAGACCGCACCGAGGCAGAAGCAACAAGGGCAACAUUAUCAGCAUCAGGUGGAGGCAGGCGACCGCCAAUUGACUUUACAAGCCAUGCGGAGGGUGGAGGGGUGGAGAGAAUCCUCAGUGAGUUUUGAUCGCCUCUUCAAGGACCUUUCGACCAUUACUUAAAAUGUACUUUCUGCAAUGAAAAAGCACUAUUCUUCCUAUUGUGUGCAUAUAUAUCCUCUUUACUUGUACGAGUGUGUGGGUCAGGCCAUAUGCACAAUAAAAAAGAAAUGAAAAGGCGCAUGGGGCGCAAGAAGGAUGCAUGUCCUAGCGCAGAGCCCCGAUACGCAGCGUGUGUGCUCUUUUGACUUUUGAUUAAAUUCGCACGCGCCAAAACCCGAAAAAAACAAAAUACAUGCAUGGUCAUGUGGAAGUUUUCAAAAAAAUGAACAAAUAUGAACUGAAAAUUCCCCAAAGGGGGGGUCCCGACUAUGGAUAUACCCUCUCUUGGUCCUGACACAUAAAGAAGGUCUUUUCUCUUCCGGGGAUAUGCCACACAAAUCUUGAUGAAAUGUUCCCUAGUCUUAGGGAAGUACAUUUUAAUUAUUUUGUUUUGUUUACUUUUUAAUAUUGUUAUUUAUUUUGUUGUUUUUUGCAGUGAUUUUACGAAAUUCCUAUAAAUUAGUAUUAACUUUUGUACAGGAUUAAAAAACAGAUCUUAAAUAUUUGUUUUUGCAAUAUCUGAAGAAUUAAAAAAAAUAGAAUUCUUGGAUCUAUCUAAGACAUAUUAUGUUGAGGGCACUUUCAAUGGUAGU